rnacentral:lncRNA from 1 species
GGGACUGCUGUGCCACACCGGGUUUGUUAACUUCAACUAACCACAAGGAUUCCACAGAUCUGAGAUGCAGACUGGGGCAGCCAGACCUGCUAAGGUGUCCUCCGGGAAGACAGUCCCUUUAAAUGGCCCUUCUGCCUCUGGCACCCCUUGUGACAGUUACCAAAUAAAAAUAAGUGAGAACUUGGGGCCUUAUCAGCCAAGAGGAAUUGGGGAUUUGAUGCAAUAUUCUUUUACUGCAUGGGGAGCCCAGGAUACAGGAUGUGAGUGAUGGUCAAGGCAGGGCUUCAGCAGUUCCAAGCAGGUACCUUGAAUAUGAGUUGAGUCGACUCAACUCAAGCCAAUGUGCCACCAUCCACCACAUUUUCUUGGCUCCCUAAGAAUGCCUUACUAUUUUCUCAUUGGCAGCUUUUGUAUAUUCUUAAAAGGUGAUGGUAGAAAAUGAGUCUAAAAGGUUUCAGGGAAGUCGGGGACGGGGUGGGGGGAGAUUCAGCAGCUACAAAAUUUAAAACUACUGGGCUUGACUCCCCUCCCCUACUCCCUUCCACCUUCUGUUUCCUCCCCUUAUUUACCCCCUCCCCAGGCUGGAGGAAAGGGAACAGCUCUAGCCAACUUGUCAAAAUAAUGCUGCUAAUUACCCCUGAUCUCCUUUAAUGGGAAGCUGCUCCUAACUCCACAAAGGAGUAAAUGAGGGGUCUACAGCACAAACCCGGGAGCACUGGCAUUUUUUGAGCUUACAGUGAGCUGGGGGUGGGGAAAGCGGCAGAGGGGAGUGUCCUGAGAAGGUCCCAGAAAUCUCCACAUUGAUUACUCCAGGUCUAAAUACUAGCUUGAAAGGGGAAUUAGACUUUAUGUAUUGCCAAAAGCUAUUGGUAUUCUCUUGCUAAGCAUGUCACCAACUGCUGAAUGUUCAGAGCCUACUAUGAACUUGAAAGAAAACAGAGCAUUGACCCCUGCAUUGAUCCCUCUCUCUCCAAAUAUAUUCUUACCCACAUUGCUUUCCUCUCAUGGAUAGAGAUGUAUUCCUACAACACCCAGACUUUGAACAUGUUUUGCAUCCUUCCCUCUCCUCGCCUCUCCCUGUCUAAUAUAUCUCUAUCAAGCUUUGCGUUUGCUAGGAGGCACACCAUUCAUUUCAGUGAUCUCUGCUAUUGGGUCCUGCAUGAAAAAGAAGCUGAGCAACAUGAUCCCUUUGACCCACUGCUGGAGCAACAAAUUUAUCAGAAAUAUAGGCAUGAGAAAUGAAAGGGAAGUAAAACAAUUCCAGCUUAUUGUGUGUCUUUCUUUCAUACUGCUAAUCCGGUUUACACAUCACGCCUACACGUCUCAAUAGGGCAUUAUACACUGUGGCAGAGGCUGGAGAAAAUAAAAGGUGUGUGUGUGUGUGUGUGUGUGUGUGAGAGAGAGAGAGGAAUGAGGAUAAAAACGGGAGACAUAUUUUAAUCCACAUUGAUUAACCUCAUCAGUUUAUCUAUCUGUAGAAAGUUGAAGAUAAUUUUGUAAAACAGCCUUUUUCUUUUCAGAAAAUAAUUCCAAAUGGUUCUAAGUUUUGUUCAAAUAGCUUCAAAGAUUAUGACUACUUUAUAACCAGAAAUUAGAUACACCACUCACAGUGAGUUUGAAAUGAAGCUAAUACCCCAAAUUGAGAAUGGCGGGGCCUAUUGAUGUCUACCUUGAUUCAACAUUUUAAUUGAAACAGAUCAUGGACUCAAAGGCAUUUUAUAGCCUUGUGGAAGGAAGCUGGGUGACAACUGGAACACACAUAAACUCACAAUCGAAAGCCCCUUGUUUUACAACUUGGGCACUCCAUGCACCUGAGGCAACAAUUUAUCCGGAGUACCACCCAGAAAUUUUAAGUUGCAAUAACAAAGGAUGACACCAUAAAGCAUUGUCUUUCUUUGUGGAGGCGAUUAAUUGCAUGCUGAACUACUGUCGCCAAUAAACACAGAAAUAAAUAAAAACCUAAAAGAAAUGCACACACACAGAAUGCUGAAAAAGGACUAUUGUGGUAGUUCAAGACCUCAGUGAUCCAAUUAUCAAAUAUUUAGAGCCACCCAUUGUGGCUCUUUAUUAUUUAUGUCUAGUUCUUUUGUAUUUCUCCUCCCCAGGGAGGAAGAAAGGAUAAAAAGGGAGGAAGACGGUCUUCUCUCCCAGGUGCAGGAAAACAGGUCUGUGGGUGUCUUCCACAGCCGCCCACCCAUAUGGUUCUUCUUAGGUGAUGGAAACAGAUCAGUUUCCCUGAGAGUGUGCUCAUCCACACGCUAGCAUCAUUUUAAACAUGAACGUACUAAAUACGUGGAGACACAGCGCAUGUCACCCAGAGGCACAGUUUCUGGGGGUCUUGGGGUUCAGCGCUGGGCCCGGGCCUGUAAAGUGAGAAUCGGUCCGGCCCGCCCCCGGGCUCCCCUGAGGCCGCACUCUGCACUCUAAGCACUGGGCUGGUCGCCCAUCUCUGUAAGGGUGGCAGCCACCCAAGCGCCUGAAUCGGUGGGCAUAAGAGUCACACACACCACCUCUCUUACCCACCGCCCCUUCCAGAACUCCAAAAGCCUCUCUGGCCCUUUUCCCGCAGCAUGGGAGGGGAGGUGGGUAAGGUGCGUCUCUUCUAGCCCGGGUGUCCCGCACCCCUAGGCGUGCGUGCGGGCUCGAGAGCGGGUCUGCGGGGCGCGAGCGUGCCCUUCCCUGCGGCUGCGGCUGCUCCCGCGAGCUGGCGGCAGCGGCUUCCGCGCGCGCGCUCUGAGCCCCCUCCCCUCGGCGCUGUCACUCUCCGCACCAGCCCUUCCAUCACCAGCUCUGCCUCCGCUGGCGAGUCAGUAGCCACCACCAGGCUGAUGAGCGGAAGCCAAGGUGGCGACCCUUUCAGGCGUGAAAAUGGGAGCUCCGGCGACCCCCUCCGUGAGAAUUCCCCCCGGAGCCGUUCCUCAGCCGGGGCCCGCCGCGGCCAGCCCCCUCCCCGCCACGCGGGGCUGGCCUCGGGGGCGGGGGCCCGGGCGUGCGAGCGAGCGUGGAGGCGCGGGACCCGCGCUCCCGCGCCCAGGCGGCGCAGCCCAC